rnacentral:tRNA from 1 species
GAGGGUAUAGCUCAAGUGGUAGAGUGCAUGCUUAGCAUGCCCAAGGUCCUGGGUUCAAUCCCCAGUCCCUCCU